UCAGAUUGAACGCUGGCGGCAGGCUUAACACAUGCAAGUCGAGCGGAUGAAAGUAGCUUGCUACUGGAUUCAGCGGCGGACGGGUGAGUAAUGCUUAGGAAUCUGCCUAUUAGUGGGGGACAACAUCUCGAAAGGGAUGCUAAUACCGCAUACGUCCUACGGGAGAAAGCAGGGGAUCUUCGGACCUUGCGCUAAUAGAUGAGCCUAAGUCGGAUUAGCUAGUUGGUGGGGUAAAGGCCUACCAAGGCGACGAUCUGUAGCGGGUCUGAGAGGAUGAUCCGCCACACUGGGACUGAGACACGGCCCAGACUCCUACGGGAGGCAGCAGUGGGGAAUAUUGGACAAUGGGGGGAACCCUGAUCCAGCCAUGCCGCGUGUGUGAAGAAGGCCUUUUGGUUGUAAAGCACUUUAAGCGAGGAGGAGGAGCUCUUGGUUAAUACCCAAGAUGCUUGGACGUUACUCGCAGAAUAAGCACCGGCUAACUCUGUGCCAGCAGCCGCGGUAAUACAGAGGGUGCAAGCGUUAAUCGGAUUUACUGGGCGUAAAGCGCGCGUAGGUGGCCAAUUAAGUCAAAUGUGAAAUCCCCGAGCUUAACUUGGGAAUUGCAUUCGAUACUGGUUGGCUAGAGUAUGGGAGAGGAUGGUAGAAUUCCAGGUGUAGCGGUGAAAUGCGUAGAGAUCUGGAGGAAUACCGAUGGCGAAGGCAGCCAUCUGGCCUAAUACUGACACUGAGGUGCGAAAGCAUGGGGAGCAAACAGGAUUAGAUACCCUGGUAGUCCAUGCCGUAAACGAUGUCUACUAGCCGUUGGGGCCUUUGAGGCUUUAGUGGCGCAGCUAACGCGAUAAGUAGACCGCCUGGGGAGUACGGUCGCAAGACUAAAACUCAAAUGAAUUGACGGGGGCCCGCACAAGCGGUGGAGCAUGUGG
rnacentral:rRNA from 1 species